rnacentral:rRNA from 1 species
CCCUUAGAUGUUCUGGGCUGCACGCGUGCUACAAUGGCGUUUCCAGCAAGUCUGCGAACCCGAGAGGGCCAGCGGAUCUUCGAAUUGGCGUCGUGAUCGGGACAGUCGAUUGCAAUUAUUUGACUCAAACGAGGAAUUCCUUGUAAUCGCGAUUCAUCAUAUCGCGCUGAAUACGUCCCUGCCCUUUGUACACACCGCCCGUCGCUCCUACCGAUUGAGCGAUCCGGUAAAUGUUUUUGAUUGGUGCCGGGGCGGCUAGCUGCCGGUCGCUACGAAAUUUUGUGAACCUUAUCGCUUAGAGGAAGGAAAAGUCGUAACA